CACCCAGGCUAAAGUGCAGUAGCGUGAUCAUGUCUCACGGCAGCCUCGACCUCCUGGGCUCAAGUGAUCCUCCCUGCUCAGACUCUGUAGCAGCUGGGACUACAGGCACAAGCCACCAUGCCGGGCUACUCUUUCCAUUUUUUAAAACUGCAUUAGUUAUCUACUUUCUAAACUCACUUUUAAUUCUUAACAGCGCGAGCGCCAUCAUGUGCUCAUCUCUGUAACUUCAGCGGAAGAAACGCGUUUUUCCCCGCCACUGCAUUUGAGGAAUGGAAAAAUAAACCAAAAUCGUUCAUCGGGCCUGAGAAACCUUGAGAAGCAUAUUACCCUACGGUUGUUUUUUCAUCGAAAAGUUGAAGGAUUUCUGACAUCUCAAUUAGUAACGCAUCUGGAAUGUUUGCUCUCCAGGAAUAGAUGUACCCACCAAAAGCCUUGCUUGCAGCCACCUCCACGUCUCUCAACCUGCCUGAGUGCAGGGCUUAUGUUACAAGGAAUUCUCAAAGCUGUGUUAUCAAAGCUGUGAAAUCAAAGUCUCUACCCCUCUGAAGUUUACCCGGAUGGCCUGACUCAUCCCAGAGAUGGACUCCAAACCUCCCACUUUGCCUGGAAACCUUCAGAAUCUGGCUCCAACCCACCUAUUAUCUGAGGGUCAAGUCCUGCAUCAGAUUGUAUUUUCCAAUGUUGGCUGCAACAAGAUCUUGAUGUGACCUUGACAUUCCUCCCAUAGAGUGGUGGAGUCUACGUCCCCUCUCCUGGAGACUGAGUGGAGCUUUGUGACUGCUGCAGCCAUUGGAGUAUGGCAGAAGUGCUGUUAUGUCACUUAUGAGAUUGGAUCAUAAAAAUGCCACACACUUCCUUCCUCUCUUGGAAUGCUGAGGCCAUGUUGUGAGGAAGUCCAAUGAGCCCCUGUGGAGAGACCAUAUAGAAUGACUACUUUGAGAUGUUCCAGCUUACAGCCCUGCUCGGCCCUAGCCAACAGCCAGCAUCUUUCACCAGACAUAUGAGUGACGACCCUCCAGAUGAUUCCAGCUUCCAGCCAGUGAAUCACAUCUAGCUUUCAAGUCUUCCCAGCCGAGGCCCCAAGCAUUGUGAAGCAGAGCUCAGAAUGACCUCAUGUCUUUCUACCUGAAGCCUGCUAUACCAUUUGUUGCACACAACUUCUACAAUCUCUAUGGACUUUAUACAAUGUACUUAAUAAUGAAAAGCACUGAAGAGAGAGGAAGAAACAGGGAAAAGGGAGACCAAGUCAUAUCAGGAUUUGAAUUUGAAAAUCAUCCAGGAAAUCAGAUGAUGCCUGGAAGUGUAUUAACUAUCCUGAGCUGACAACAUGCCGACCCACUAAUGGAAAAUUGUGACUAACACACCUGCCAGGUUACUAGAUUUUUCCCUUCAUAGAUAUUUUCUUGGUGCAUGUUUGAAUGAAUGGAUGAUUAAUUGAUAAGAUUUUAAAAGAGUUCGGUUGACACCAAUCAUAACUGGAAGCAAAAGAGAUUCAUCUGAGUUCUUUCAAAUUAUGCUUGCCUGACACCUUCUCCACUUCAACUUGUUGAAAGGCCCAGGGUGAAUCACCUGCCUGCACAAUAUAACAAAGGGAACAGCACAUGCACCCAUGGGCCUCUGCUAAUCUCUGGGCUGACCUCUGUUAGCCCCAUGGUUAUUCUGGUCUAGACAGGCUUAUGCUGAGAAAUACUUUACAUUUUCUGAAGACAAGUGUUAUGUAAUUCUGGUGCUUAGAGAAUACUUAAAUGAUUCUUCCAAAUUGUGCUCCUAAUUUCUGAAUGUCA
rnacentral:lncRNA from 10 species